rnacentral:lncRNA from 10 species
AGACAACGUAACACGUCAAAGAAGAGAGGAGAAAAGAAUAUUAUAACCUCUGUCAUAAAGCUAGCAGAAACAAACAAACCAAAAAAAAGGUAUGAAAAAGUUAUCCUUGAAGGAUACUGACUGGGCUUGAGGAAAAAAAACUAUGGGAGCAUUUGAAGUAUUUUUCCCAAGGCAAGGCUUUCUUCACUCCGCCACCAUCCCUUUUGGGUUUUCUGUUAUCUGAGAGCCAGUAAAUAAUGCUUCAUACUCCUUAAUAAUGACGUUUUGAUCUUAAUUCAUUGGCAAGUCAUGUCAUAAGAAAACUAAGAGAAAUAAAUGUCCAUUUGAUAGCUAAUCUUUUACAAAUGAAAAUUGGUUACUAAGUUUACUAAGUAUGCUACAAAUCUAUAAUUUAGAAUUAAAGAGUACUCUAGUUUUUAUGUUUUCAGAAAAAUAUGUUCAAAAAUUCUCUAUUUUUGUUCUUGUAAACAGCCUGUAAAAACAUAAUAAAACUAGAUGAAAACUAUUCUGUGUAAGAACAUAAUUUCAGUUGAUCUUUUUCAUGUAACUUGAAGUAUAUGACACAUAAACGCUAAAGAACUGCUCACUACAUGCAGUAUCCUGGAGCAAUGCCUCUCAGCAUGUUGUUCACUGUACCAGCAGCAUAGGCAUCACCUGGGAGCUUGUCAGAAGUGGACAUUCUUGGCUGGGUGCAGUGGCUCAUGCCUGUAAUUCCAGCACUUUGGGAGGCUGAGGUGGUUGGAUCACUUGAGGU